rnacentral:lncRNA from 1 species
UGCAGGGAGAGGUUGCCAGGGAUGAGGGAGGUGAACGCGUCGUCGUCACCUGACUCUGCGGCGCAGAAAAUCACCUUCUCCAACGAGGUGUAGCGCGAGUACGAUAGGAGACAAUACAUUCCUUCCUUUCUCAAGGUGAUUCCUUUAUCUUGGUAAUUCCUUCCUUUCUCGGUCUUGUGGCGAUGGCGGCGUCUCGCGCUGGUCGCAUGCAUGGAUGGAGCAACGGGCGGACAAAUUAUUUUCUUUCCUUUUCUCGCUCGCCUAUUGCACAACAUGGGAGGUGGGAUCGCAUGGGGUGGCAGAUGGAUGAACCAAAACAAUUGUUGCACCAAAAAGUGUCCACUCUUUAGUCUUUUUAGUUGUGA